rnacentral:misc_RNA from 1 species
ACACCUCAACUCCUCAUGGCUUGCCAUGACGAGCUUGGACUUUGGGGGUCUUGCUGGCCUGCGGUCGGCUCCUCUCAAAUGGAUCAGCUUGCCGGUGUUUGGUGGCAUCACGGGUGUGAUAACUAUCUACGCUUGUGGUUUUCCACCAGAUGGCCCUCAGCGAUGGGGGCUCACCGGGGCUCAUAAAUGUCUCUCCUCGGUGAGGACAUCUCUUUGAAC